GUGAGGGCCAUCUGGCUGCAACAUCUGUCACCCCAUUGAUUGCCAGGGUUGAUUAGGCUGAUCUGGCUGGCUAAGCUGGUGUCUCCUUCCUCCCUAAGGUGAUCACUUUGUUGAAGAGGACAACCUUCACAAAUAGAGGAAGAUCGGGCUUUGGUCAAGGGUAUAGGAGUAGCUAUGAUCCCCUGCUAGAACCCUAAACAAGUUCUCAAGGUAUAAAUUAGUUUAUUCAAGACAAAGUUAUAGAAAUGACAAUAUCUUUAGGUUUUUACCAAACUAUGGUAAUCAUACCU
rnacentral:snRNA from 1 species